rnacentral:tmRNA from 1 species
CCCCUUUCAUUCAUUCGGGGAACUCCCUAUAUAUAUUUCGUCGAGCAAUCGACUAUGGCGCUAGAGGGCGCUGCGGAAUAAGCGUAGUGGACCCGGGGGCAGUACCCGGCGCCUCCACCAAUUUCGCCGAUGGAGCCAGCGUAAAGAUGGUCCCUCGGCACCUCCCUUGAAAGACAGGGAGGGACUAUGGGGGCGAAAUAGGAUCGACACGCGUGGUAAAGGCAGAUGUCUGCGNCCGGCAUGGUACCGCCGUAUCGGGCCAAAUCGCUAAAUGCGAACGAUAACGACGAGAUGGUUGCUGUCGCUGCGUAAGCAGUCUCGGUAACAAAGUCGUAAUUCCUAAUGGACUUAUCCUCUGCUAGGUGGGGCCUGGGGGGCCUAGCAACAGAACCCCCCGUU